rnacentral:lncRNA from 1 species
GCCAACUGCAGCAGCAGCGGGCCCAGCCUGCCCCGCAACAGCCAGCGCGGCUCCUGGAGGGAAACGAGCAAGGCGGCCCCGCAGGUGUGGCGCGGCCCUGGGAGGGCGCGUGCGAGCGCUGCUUUGUUUGGUGCCCGCACAGCCCCGGGCUCCAGGCCUGAGCGCCAACCUUCCCGAGCUGAGUCACGGCUGCAGAGCCCGAGGGCGGCCAUACGGCCCCGCCCGGAAGGAUGAGGCCCCUUCCUGAAGCUGGCGAGUCCGAUGCGGUGGCAGGGACAAAAGCCAGGGGAAGGUGGCUUCUAUUCUACAAAGCCCUUUAGGGAAGGGGGGAGUCAGGCCGCCCUCACCCAGUGCAGGUCCGUCACGAUGGUCACCCAGAGCACUCACGCAGAAAGCCAGCUUGCAGCCGCCAGCCCUGAGGAUGCCGCCCCCAAAGGGCUCAUUGCUCUAAUCACCCGUCCAGGGGCUUGAGGCAAAGCUCCAAGACAGACCUGUAGCAGCAUGGCCCAAAAAGUUCCUCUGCUGCCCCAGUCCCAUACCUGCCUGAGGUACGGGGGUUCAGGCUGAGUCGGCUGACCUGGAGUCAUCUGGAAGCCUUGUCAGAAAUGCAGAUUCUGCAGUGCUGUUCCCAGAGGAUGAGAUUCAGCAGAACUGGGUGUUGGAUAUUAUAUGAAGAGAUUUGCAAGUGUUAUUUUACGUAAUUCGCACUUUACAAAGGAGGAAACUGCAGCGCAGGUACCAAGGUUGCCCCAUCUCGGUCCAGGCCUGCUCCCGGCGAGCCACUCGCCCUUGACCACGCCUCCUCUCUCCUGAUUGGCUGUCAGGCAUGAGUCAGAAGGAAGCCAUCUGCAACCCAAGGAGAGAGCUCUUGCCAGACUCUGACCCUGCUGGCAUCUUGAUCUUGAUUUUGGAUUUUCUAGCCUCCAGAUCCAUGAAAAAAUAAAUUCCUUUCCUGAUGUUUAUAAUAUUUUGUUAUGGCAGAUUAAGCUCACUAAGACAAUAAUCAAAGACCUAUAAAACCGUGAACUUCUUGAGACAAUGAGGAUGCCUCUAACAGACUUGGGAAGAAAUCCUGCACAAAGAGCUGGGGAAAAAAGGGAAGAAAAGCACAUAGAAUACUCCUUCAAGGCAGGCAUUGGCAGACCUUCCACCGUGCACCAGGCUCUGUGCUAAGAUUCACCCUGGAGUAACCCUGCCUCUGGGGGUGAAGUUGCUAUAUCUGGCUGCGUUUUGGCCAGCCGACCCUCUAGGCAGCCCUUAAUUCUUGCUUCUCAAACUUACUUCCAAGGACAGAGAAAGAUGACCACUGCCCUCACCCCACUAAAGAAGCCCCAGCACUUAGCAAGCACUUAUGGCCCAGAGCAGACUGUCUCUACUUCAUUUCACUCUCCACACCCAGACUUGGACCACACUUGGAAAAGAACCAGCCAGUCCUGGAGGCUGCAUAUUGUGGAUAGCAGGACUCCACUCACAUCUCAAAGCUCCUCCCUGCCCAUUCCCAUGGUCCCUCCAGCCCUUGGGCAAUACUACCAAUAAGAAGGAGAAAUGAGCUGGAUUUCACUUCCUUUGGAGCAGGUGUGAAUAAACAGAAUUGUCCCAAACUUGGGCAGCAGAAGUGGGGAAAGAAGAAAGGCAACCGGCCAGGCGCGGUGGCUCACGCCUGUAAUCCCAGCAUUUGGGGAGGC